rnacentral:rRNA from 1 species
AUUGAACGCUGGCGGCAUGCCUCACACAUGCAAGUCGAACGGCAGCACGGGAGCAAUCCUGGUGGCGAGUGGCGAACGGGUGAGUAAUAUAUCGGAACGUGCCCAGUCGUGGGGGAUAACGUAGCGAAAGCUACGCUAAUACCGCAUACGAUCUAUGGAUGAAAGCGGGGGAUCGCAAGACCUCGCGCGAUUGGAGCGGCCGAUAUCAGAUUAGGUAGUGGGUGAGGUAAAGGCUCACCAAGCCGACGAUCUGUAGCUGGUCUGAGAGGACGACCAGCCACACUGGGACUGGGACACGGCCCAGACUCCUACGGGAGGCAGCAGUGGGGAAUUUUGGACAAUGGGCGCAAGCCUGAUCCAGCAAUGCCGCGUGCAGGAUGAAGGCCUUCGGGUUGUAAACUGCUUUUGUACGGAACGAAACGGCGAGCUCUAAUACAGUUUGCUAAUGACGGUACCGUAAGAAUAAGCACCGGCUAACUAUGUGCCAGCCGCCGCCGUAA